GCCAUAGGGAGGGCGUCAGUGUGCCCUGGUUUGGCCACAUCAGGGUUCCACAUAUGGCAGCUCCAGUCCCACCCAGCCUGCUGACCAGCUUCUCCUCUCCCACAAGCAGGCAAAACCUCCCUGGGGACAGGUCUACAGACUCAUCCACACUUGGACCACAACCGAAGCUGGAGAACCAUCUGCUGGGGACUCCCAGCGUCUGGCACCCACCCCAGUGUUACCCUGCUGUCCCACGGCCCGUGAUAAAAGACCUUGCAAAAAGACCGAGCCACAGAGCUGGCAGAAGAGAACCCCGGGGCACAAGCCGGAAGAACUCCCUGGGAUGGCGAGGAGGCUGCAACUGGCAAAGGACGUGCAGUGUCCGUAAGAGGGAAGCAGGCUAGGGAGCUGUGCUUCCUCCCCUGACCUGAUGGUGGCGCUGCCCCCUGUGAGUCCCAGCGACUGCAGCGUCGUCCUCUGCAAGGCAGCCUGGCCCGUCACCUGAGGGAGAGGGCAAAGGAGGUGGCACAGGUGGUCCAGGACAGGUGGGCCCCACGCCAAGACCCCAGACCUCAAGGGAGCAGACCUUGAAAAACCACAGGAGGCCCUCAAACUUCCCCCUCCUUCAAAACCCUCCCAGUGCAGGACAGUGUGGGGGUGGGGUGGGGUGACCUCCCAGGCCUCGGUGCCCCCCAAGCCCUUGGUGCCCAACAGCAAGGUCUGAGCCUGCUCCUCCUUAGCCCCAAGGCUCCCCCAUGCCAGCCUGCCUCAGCUCCCAUCAUCCACCUGCAAGUCCCGACUUGUCACCCCCAUUCCCAAGGGUACCCUCAGAAGGCCCUGAAUCCCCUCCUGCAGGGCACCAGCUGCCUUUUGCCCUUGGGACUGCCCCUGCAGGGGAACACUGGCGCUGAGCAGGUCCUCUGUAGGAAAGAGUACCCAACCUCAGAGCCCCUCACCCCACCCCCUCCUGUCCUUUGAGGCUCCAGAGGCCCUGUGGGUCUGAUGGGGGCCCAGUGGGAGACACGGCCAUCUGCACGGGGUCCACUGGGUCCACCCUGGCUGGGAGGGGCACACUGCCAGAGCAGGAACAGACAGCCACUGUGAGGCGGGGGCGCCGAGUGGGGCGGGGCGCGGGUGCCAGGGCCAAGCCCGCCCCACACUGCUCUCAGGUUUGGGAAAGAUCAAAACAUGAGCAAAGCAAAUAUUUAUUAAAACGAAACCACUUUUGUGA